CGCGGAACCCUGAUGCGCGGUGCCCGUCCGCACCCGGCGCCUUUUCGCCGCCGCUCCCGGCGCUGCCCCGUCGUUGCCCUGGCAACGGCACCGUCCGCGGGGCGGAGAGCCCGGGCCCGGCGGCAGGAUGAUGCUCUCCCGGGCCAAGCCAGCUGUGGCAGGUACCCCAUCACCAGGAGAAAGGCAAAGGAAGAAAGGAAAGAAAGUGCCACAGCUGGAAGAGCUCCUGGCCCAGAGGGACUUCACUGGCGCGAUUGCCUUGCUGGAGUUUCAGCGGCAAGUGGGGGAGCAGGAGGAGGAUGCUGACCUUUGGAUCGGGUACUCUGCCUUUCAUUUGGGUGACUACAAGAGAGCACUGGAGGAAUACGAGGCCUUAACCAAACAACCAGCUUGCAAUCCAGAUGUUUGGGUGAACCUUGCCUGUACGUACUUCUUUUUGGGAAUGUAUACGCAAGCUGAACAAGCAGCGUUGAAAGCACCUAAGAGUCAUCUCCAGAACCGUUUGCUCUUUCACCUGGCACAAAAGUUCAAUGAUGAGAAGAAACUGAUGAGUUCUCACCAGAAUCUGGAAGACAUUACAGAAGAUCAGCUCAGCCUAGCAUCUAUCCACUACUUGAGGUCCCACUACCAUGAAGCUAUUGCUAUCUACAAACGCAUUCUUCUGGAUAAUCGGGAAUACCUGGCUCUGAAUGUAUAUGUGGCCCUAUGUUAUUACAAACUGGACUACUAUGAUGUAUCACAGGAAGUGCUAGCUGUUUAUCUUCAGGAAUUUCCUGACAGCACCAUUGCUCUCAACCUUAAGGCUUGUAACUGUUUCCGACUUUUCAAUGGGAAAGCUGCUGAGGCAGAGUUUAGGAACUUGAUGGACAAUGCCUCAUCAUCUUUUCAGUUUGGCAAGGAGCUCAUUAAGCACAAUCUGGUAGUGUUUCGAGGGGGAGAAGGGGCUUUACAGGUCCUGCCUCCUUUGGUUGAUGUUAUUCCCGAGGCAAGACUGAAUCUUGUGAUUUACUAUCUCCAGCAAGGUAAGUACACUUUCCUCUCGCUCUUUCAUAGCUUCAAGGAUGACAUUCAUUCACCUGAUCAACUGACUCUUCAAUGAGAUGCUUUUUUUGCUUUGCAGUAAAAUUUAAUUUAUUUCAUUUUCUGUUCCUCUGGAAAACAGUGAUGUAAGAGAUCCCCGUGGCUUGCAGACAAGGGCUUUAAUUGUGAGCAGUCAAAUAAAUCUACUUCAGCAGAGUACUGAAUGUUCUUGGCUUGUGGGAGAUGGCUUUGGGGAUGGUAGUGUUUUUGUUUAUAGUGAGAGGACCUCUCCUCUGCCUGAAUAUGUGAUAGUGGCAGGCAUAUGUCCAAUGAAGGCAAGGAGGACUACUUCCGUAAGUAUGGCACAAAUAGAAUAUAAGCCAAAGUGACUGUGAACAAGGCUACAGUUUGUGAACGAGACACUUCAUUCCAAAUCUACUUUACAACUCUUAAAGAAUUCAGGUACGUAGCCAGAACCAGUUGGAAAGUAUUUUCUGCUUGCUUCUCUCCUUAGUUGGCCAACUCCUUUCAUUUUUAUCUGAGUUUAGUUUCAGAGCCAUUACUGUUCUCCCACUGUGUUCUUUUAUUCAAUAGUGGGUUGACUGACUGAGUGAUGAAUUGGUGUUAACUGUACUUAUCAAAAAUAAGGCGAUGUGAUGAUUGGUUUACUAUUCACUCCUUUCUUGUAAGCCUUGUAUUUUGUUGCCUUUUAAAUAGUUAUAGUUACUGAGAAUAUGUGUUUCAAAUUAAGUUCUACGUGCGCAGAAGCAAAAUACAUCUUGUGCAUCACUUAAAAAUCAGUCUUGUUUACUGAUUAUAUUUGCUGUCAACCUUGCAGUAAUUUUCAUUGGUUAGGUUCUGUUCUUCAGUGGGGUAUACAAAUGACUUGCAUACUGACAAAGGAGGCCAAGAGGAACUGAGGAUUUUAACCUCUUUCCUGGUUACGCUAAGUUUCCAUUUCAAACUACCUGAAAGGAGGUUGUAGCAAGAUGAUGUGCAGGAGGCUUAUAACCUGAUUAAGGACCUGGAACCUAUAUUUCCACAGGAGUACAUUCUUAAAGGAGUGGUAAAUGCAGCACUUGGGCAAGA